AGUGAACGCUGGCGGUAGGCCUAACACAUGCAAGUCGAACGGCAGCACAGUAAGAGCUUGCUCUUACGGGUGGCGAGUGGCGGACGGGUGAGGAAUACAUCGGAAUCUACUUUUUCGUGGGGGAUAACGUAGGGAAACUUACGCUAAUACCUCAUACUACCUACGGGUGAAAGCAGGGGAUCUUCGGACCUUGCGCGAUUGAAUGAGCCGAUGUCGGAUUAGCUAGUUGGCGGGGUAAAGGCCCACCAAGGCGACGAUCCGUAGCUGGUCUGAGAGGAUGAUCAGCCACACUGGAACUGAGACACGGUCCAGACUCCUAAGGGAGGCAGCAGUGGGGAAUAUUGGACAAUGGGCGCAAGCCUGAUCCAGCCAGACCGCGUGGGUGAAGAAGGCCUUCGGGUUGUAAAGCCCUUUUGUUGGGAAAGAAAAGCAGCAGGUUAAUACCCCGCUGUUCUGACGGUACCCAAAGAAUAAGCACCGGCUAACUUCGUG
rnacentral:rRNA from 1 species